rnacentral:rRNA from 1 species
GAUGAACGCUGGCGGCGUGCCUAACACAUGCAAGUCGAACGAUGAACCCGCCCUCGGGCGGACAUGAAGUGGCGAACGGGUGAGUAACACGUGACCCACCUGCCCCCCGCCCAGGGACAGCCCCCCGAAAUGGGGAUUAAUACCUGGUACUCCGGAAGAGGCGCAUGCCGCCCCCGGGAAAGCUCUGGCGGCGGGGGAUGGGGUCGGGGGCCAUCAGGUAGACGGCGGGGUAGGAGCCCACCGUGCCGACGACGGGUAGCCGGGUUGAGAGACCGACCGGCCACAUUGGGACCGAGAUACGGCCCAGACUCCUACGGGAGGCAGCAGUGGGGAAUUUUGCGCAAUGGGGGCAACCCUGACGCAGCAACGCCGCGUGCGGGACGAAGGCGUCCGCGUCGUAAACCGCUUUCAGCGGGGAACACUUUUCGAGGGUACCCGCAGAAGAAGCCCCGGCUAAAUACGUGCCAGCCGCCGCGGUAA